UACAGACUGGAUGAUUAAGAAAACUUGCCAA
rnacentral:piRNA from 1 species